ACACACUCACACUUACACACACCCCUACUCACACACACCCCUACUCAGACACACCCCUACUCAGACACACCCCUACUUAGACACACCCCUACUCACACACCACAGUGUCUGCGUUUGGCUCUCCCUUUCCACUCUGCCUCCAUCUCCCUUCCAGGAUGCACAGACGACUGCUCUCUCUCUGGGUGACCGGGGCACUGCUGCUACCCUUGUGCUGGGCAAACAAAGAGGACUAUGAGGAGGAAUAUGAUGACUAUUCUACACAAACACCAGACUAUGACUACACCGCCACCUUCGAUUACACCUAUUUCAGUAACACCACCGGUGAGGACUAUAGUUUUCAUGUAAUUCUAGGAGAGAAGAAGAAUGUGGAGGAGAAGGAUCUUGAGAAUAAGGCUUUAGCAAUUGGCUCCCCAUGCCCACUGCUACUCCUCGGAUUGGCUGCUCACCAACUCCAUCGAUUACUGUGAAUGAGACCGAGCACUGCAGAACAUACACAGAUAUACAGGAUCCUGAACUGAGGAGAAAGUUACCCAAUAUUCUGGAAUUGGACUGAGGAGAAAGUUACCCAAUAUUCUGGAAUUGGACUGAGGAGAAAGUUACCCAAUAUUCUGGAAUUGGACUGAGGAGAAAGUUACCCAAUAUUCUGGAAUUUGACCUUUUUAAGAAUCAAAUGGACAGAGCAUGAGAUUCUCCACCACUGACUUUCUAUACUAUAGUUGGAAAAACUCAGUGAAUCCUGAAUCGUAACUUGUGAAAGAAGCCCACAACUUGAAUUCAUAAAUAUCUCCCAUAAUAAUAUUUGCGUUGUAUGCACGUCUCAAGUUGUAAGAUGUGUCCCUUAGAGUAAUAAUAGCACAAAGCCAAUAUACCCCACGUAUUCCAUCUUGUUUUGACUUUAUACAAACUAAAUAUGUAUAUUAUACAUGCUGUUUAUCUUUUAAUACAUCUUUUCCAAAUAUGUUUUGUUUCGGUUUGAUAUUCUGUUAUGAAAAUAUAAUGCUUUCUACAACCAUGGUACAUUUUGUCUCUUCUCUAUGGUCAAUGGUUUAUAGUCUAUGCUUUAAUGACAUGCAGAUGUGAAAUGAGACAACCCAUGUAUUAGUUAUAGGGUUCUAAUUAUCUUCCCUUCCCUAGAAAAGCAUUUAAAAGAGAAUUAUAUGUUAACAAUAAAACAGAGAAAUCCCCAAUGA